UCUAUUGAAAACUGGGGUCUUCGUGAUAAGGUUUUUAGUGUUGUAUUGGAUGAUGAGUUUGUUGAUGAUUCAGUUGCUUCAAAUGUCGAAUCCCAUCUCCAGAAAUGGAACUCCCACUGCGCAAACCAGAGCUUGUUUGUGGUUAUUCAAGUGGGGCUGGAUGAACUUGACAAAAUCGUGGAGAAGUCAAUGAAUUGUUCUGAGAGCACGGAGGGCCUCACCUCUUCAGAAGUAAAAUAUGCAAACUACAACUAUGCAGCAUCAGGGAAAGACUGGAGCUGUGCACGUCGUAUUUGUGAUACCUUGGAGGAUUUUCAUCGGUAUAUGGACAUAAUGCCAAUUUUCCCUGUCCCGUGGACCUCUUUGAGAAGGGAUGAUGCAUUUGCUACUGUGGUAAAGAAGAUGCAAGAGAAGUUCAAGAAAUGCUGGAAACUUUGUUGCUUACAUUUCUAUAUGGCCAUGAUCGUUGAUCCUUCAUAUCGUCUGGAAAACAUCAAACUUCAUGUUGACCUGCACACUGACACAGAUUAUAUUCGUUGUAUGGAUGAUAUAUUGCUCAGGCUCUUUGAUGAAUAUUCUGGCAAGGUGGAAGAUUCUAACUGUACUAAGGAGACUAGAAAUGAAAUCAAUGUGAGCAGAGAUGAUGAUCGGUUGAAAUAUUACCGUCGUUAUGGAUAUCCAAUUUGUGAGCGACCGAUGACUGAGCUUGAUCAGUACUUGCAAGAGCCAUGCCUCUCUGGAGGUGAGCGUGAUGUUCUUCACUGGUGGAAGGAACAUAACCUGACCUAUCCAACGGUUGCUCGGAUGGCACGUGACAUAUUGGCCAUGCCAUGUCGUACUGAUUGCAAUGUAGCAAUAAGAACUGCAAAGUUUGCUAUAUUUGAAUCACGUAAACACCAUAUUGAAAAGCUCGUUUGUUUGCAGGAUUGGCUCACAACUGACGGUUCUGCUAGCCAGAAGUCGACGAAUGGUAGUACUGAGUGAAGUUAAUCUUCAAAUCUCAAAAGGAGAACGGUUCCAUGAUUCAUCUAUGACAAAAAUGCACAGAAAACGACUUUGAUCAGACAAUUUUGGGCACAAUGCCAAGUUCAU
rnacentral:lncRNA from 1 species